UAGGAUGCAAGGAUGCAAUGAAGGUGAUGUU
rnacentral:piRNA from 1 species